GAGUUUGAUCCUGGGUCGAGACGAACGCUGGCGGCGUGCUUACACAUGCAAGUCGAGCGGAAAGGCCCUUCGUGGUACUCCAGCGGCGAACGGGUGAGUAACAGAUGAACAACCUGCCCCUGACUCUGGGAUAAGCCUGGGAAACCGGGUCUAAUACCGGAUACCACCGCCUCCGGCAUCAGAUGGUGGUGGAAAGAUGUUUUGGUCGGGGAUGGGCUCGCCGCCUAUCAUCUUGUUGGUGGGGUAGUGGCCUACCAAGGCCACCACGGGUACCCGGCCUGAGAGGGCGACCGGCCACACUGGGACUGAGACACGGCCCACACUCCUACGGGAGGCAGCAGUGGGGAAUAUUGCGCAGUGGGCGGAAGCCUGACGCAGCGACCCCGCGUGGGGGAUGACGGCCUUCGGGUUGUAAACCUCUUUCAGCAGGGACGAAAUUGACGUGUACCUGCAGAAGAAGCGCCGGCUAACUACGUGCCAGCAGCCGCUGUAAUACAUAGGGCGCAGCGCGUUGUCCAGAAAUAUUGGGCGUAAAGAGCUCGUAUGUGGCUGGUCGCGUCUGCCGUGAACGCCCACAUCUAUAACUGCGGGUCUGCGGUGGAUACGGGCCGGCUAGAUGUAUGUAGGGGCCAGUGGAAUCUCCUGGUGUAGCGGUGAAAUGCGCAGAUAUCAGGAGGAACACCGGUGGCGAAGGCGGGCUUGCUGGGCCUUACCUGACGCUGAGGAGCGAAAGCGUGGGGAGCGAACAGGAUUAGAUACCCUGGUAGUCCACGCUGUAAACGUUGGGCGCUAGGUGUGGGGGUCUUCCACGAUCUCCGUGCCGGAGCUAACGCAUUAAGCGCCCCGCCUGGGGAGUACGGCCGCAAGGCUAAAACUCAAAGGAAUUGACGGGGGCCCGCACAAGCGGCGGAGCAUGUUGCUUAAUUUGACGCAACGCGAAGAACCUUACCAAGGUUUGACAUCACCCGGACACCUGCAGAGAUGUGGGCUUCUUCGGACUGGGUGACAGGUGGUGCAUGGCUGUCGUCAGCUCGUGUCGUGAGAUGUUGGGUUAAGUCCCGCAACGAGCGCAACCCUUGCUCCAUGUUGCCAGCAACGCCUUCGGGUGGUUGGGGACUCAUGGGGGACUGCCGGGGUCAACUCGGAGGAAGGUGGGGAUGACGUCAAGUCAUCAUGCCCCUUAUGUCUUGGGCUGCAAACAUGCUACAAUGGCCGGUACAGAGGGUGGCGAUACCGUAAGGUGGAGCGAAUCCCUAAAAGCCGGUCUCAGUUCGGAUUGGGGUCUGCAACUCGACCCCAUGAAGUCGGAGUCGCUAGUAAUCGCAGAUCAGCAACGCUGCGGUGAAUACGUUCCCGGGCCUUGCACUCAC
rnacentral:rRNA from 1 species